rnacentral:rRNA from 1 species
UACGUAGGGUGCGAGCGUUAAUCGGAAUUACUGGGCGUAAAGCGUGCGCAGGCGGUUUUGUAAGCCAGAUGUGAAAUCCCCGGGCUCAACCUGGGAACUGCAUUUGUGACUGCACGGCUGGAGUGCGGCAGAGGGGGGAUGGAAUUCCGCGUGUAGCAGUGAAAUGCGUAGAUAUGCGGAGGAACACCGAUGGCGAAGGCAAUCCCCUGGGCCUGCACUGACGCUCAUGCACGAAAGCGUGGGGAGCAAACAGG